GUGAAUCAUCGAAUCUUUGAACGCAAAUUGCACUCUCUUCGGAGAGUAUGACUGUUCGAGGGUCAGCCUAAAAAAAAUUGACAUUGUUGCUGUUUCGUGGUGAUGUUCGUCGGAAAUCGGGUUAUCUUAAACUUUUUGGCUUAAGCGACUUAAAAUAUUUUUUUUGAUUUUAUGAACGUUUCUAAGAUUGAUUUUACUACACGUUUAAGGAUCCGAUACUUAUUAGACGUGGCCGCCAGAUU
rnacentral:misc_RNA from 1 species